rnacentral:tRNA from 1 species
GCCGAUGUGGCUCAAUGGUAGAGCAAGCGCUUCGUAAGCGCUAGGUUGGAGGUUCGAUUCCUCUCAUCGGCU